AACGAACGCUGGCGGCAGGCCUCAAACAUGCAAGUCUAGGGGGUGCAGCAAUGCAUCACCGGCGGACGGGUGCGUAACGCGUGGGAAUAUACCUUUUGGUUCGGAACAACUGCGGGAAACUGCAGCUAAUACCGAAUGUGCCCUAACGGGGAAAGAUUUAUCGCCAAAGGAUUAGCCCGCGUAGGAUUUAGCUAGUUGGUGAGGUAAUGGCUCACCAAGGCUCCGAUCCUUAGCGUUCUGAGAGGAAGAUCAGCCACACUGGGACUGAGACACGGCCCAGACUCCUACGGGAGGCAGCAGUUGGGAAUCUUGGACAAUGGGGAAACCCUGAUCCAGCCAUGCCGCGUGAGUGAUGAAGG
rnacentral:rRNA from 1 species